UACAAGGCAUGGAUUGUGGUGGCUUUGU
rnacentral:piRNA from 1 species